AUUGAACGUUAGCGGCGCGCCUAACACAUGCAAGUCGCACGCGAAAGGGCUUCGGCCCCGGUAGCGUGGCGCACGGGUGAGUAGCACGUGGGUGACCUUCCCGGAAGUGGUGGAUACCCCGCCGAAAGGCGGGCUAAUACAGCAUACGAUCCCUGAUUCGGUUUGGGGAUGAAAGCAGGCCUCUGUACACACGCUUGCGCUUCCGGAUGGGCCCGCGGCCCAUCAGCUAGUUGGUAGGGUAACGGCCUACCAAGGCAACGACGGGUAGCUGGGCUGAGAGGAUGGCCAGCCACACUGGAACUGCGACACGGUCCAGACUCCUACGGGAGGCAGCAGUGGGGAAUCUUGCGCAAUGGGGGAAACCCUGACGCAGCGACGCCGCGUGGGCGACGAAGGCCUUCGGGUCGUAAAGCCCUGUGGCCCGGGACGAACAGCUUGGGUUCAAAUAGGACUCAGGUUUGACGGUACCGGGUCAGCAAGCACCGGCUAACUCUGUGCCAGCCGCCGCCGUAAUAC
rnacentral:rRNA from 1 species